rnacentral:tRNA from 3 species
AUUACUUUGGCAGAAAAAGUGUGAUGAAUUUAGAAUUCAUUUAUGUAAAUAAAUUUUACAAGUAAUA